AUAGUGAGAUCCUGCUGAUCCCAUAGGAACAGCCCACUGAUCCCAUACAGACAGCCCACUGAUCCCAUAUGGGCAGCCGCCUCAUCCCAUACAGACAGCCUACUGAUCCCAUAGGGACAGCCUGCUGAUCCCAUAGUGAGAUCCUGCUGAUCCCAUAGAGAGAUCCUACUGAUCCCAUAGUGAGAUCCUGCUGAUCCCAUACAGACAGCCCACUGAUCCCACACGGACAGCCUUCUGAUCCCAUACAGACAGCCCACCGAUCCCACACGGGCAGCCUUCUGAUCCCAUACGGACAGCCUGCUGAUCCCAUAGUGAGAUCCUGCUGAUCCCAUACAGACAGCCCACUGAUAUCAUACGGGCAGCCGCCUCAUCCCAUACAGACAGCCCACUGAUCCCACACGGACAGCCUGGUGGUCCCAUAGUGAGAUCCUGCUGAUCCCAUACAGACAACCCACUGAUCCCAUACGGACAGCCACCUCAUCCCAUACAGACAGCCCACUGAUCCCACACGAACAGCCUGCUGAUCCCCUAGUGAGAUCCUGCUGAUCCCAUAGAGAGAUCCUACAGAUCCCAUAGGAACAGCCUGCUGAUCCCAUACAGACAGCCCGCUGAUCCCAUACAGACAGCCUGCUGAUCCCAUAGUGAGAUCCUACUGAUCCCAUACAGACAGCACACUGAUUCCAUAUGGACAGCCACCUCAUCCCAUACAGACAGCCCACUGAUCCCAUAGGGACAGUCUGCUGAUCCCAUACAGACAGCCCACUGAUCCCAUACGGGCAGCCGCCUCAUCCCAUACAGACAGCCUGGUGGUCCCAUAGUGAGAUCCUACUGAUCCCAUACAGACAGCCCACUGAUCCCAUACGGACAGCCUGGUGGUCCCAUAGUGAGAUUCACUGAUCCCAUAGGAACAGCCUGCUGGUCCCAUACAGACAGCCCACUGAUCCCAUAGGGACAGUCUGCUGAUCCCAUACGGACAGCCUGCUGAUCCCAUAGUGACAGCCUGCUGAUCCCAUGGUGACAUUACGGUGAUCCCAUAGUGACAGCCUUCUGAUCCCAUAGUGUCAGCCUGGUACUGCUAUGGUGGGAUCCUGCUGAUCCCAUAGCAACAUCCUGCUGAUCUCAUAGGGACAGCCUGGUGAUCCCAUAGUGACAGCUUGCUGAUCCCAUAGGGACAUCCUGGUGAUCCCAUACAGACAGCCUUCUGAUCCCAUGGUGACGUUGCGGUGAUCCCAUAGUGACAGCCUGCUGAUCCCAUAGUGACAUCCUGGUGAUCCCAUACAGACAGCCCACUGAUCCCAUACGGACAGCUGCUGAUCCCAUAAUGAGAUCCUGCUGAUCCCAUGGUGACAUCCUUGUGAUCCUGUGGUGACAUCCUGCUGAUCCCAUGGUGACAUCCUGGUGAUCCCAUAGUGAGGUCCUGGUGAUCCCAUGGGGACAUCCUGGUGCUGCCAUGGUGACAUCCUGGUGAUCCCAUAGUGACAUCCUGGUGAUCCCAUGGUGACAUUCAGGUGAUCCCAUGGGGACAUUCUGGUGAUCCCAUGGGGACAUCGCACUGAUCCCAUGGUCACAUCCUGGUGAUCCCAUAAUGAGCUCCUGGUGAUCCCAUGGUGACAUCCUGGUGCUGCCAUGGUGACAGCCUGGUGAUCCCAUCGCGACAUCCUGCUGAUCCCAUGUUGACCUCCUGGUGAUCCCAUGGUGAUGUUAUGGUGAUCCCAUGGGGACAUUCAGGUGAUCCCAUGGUGACAUUCAGGUGCUGCCAUGGUGACAUCCUGGUGCUGCCAUGGUGACAUUCAGGUGAUCCCGUG
ensembl:lncRNA